GACGUAGGGGGCAAGCGUUAUUCGGAAUCAUUGGGCGUAAAGCGCUCGUAGGCGGGAAGGCAAGUCCGUGUUGAAAGACCUCGGCUCCAACUGAGGGACCGGCUCGGAUACUGUUUUUCUUGAGGCAUUCAGAGGGUGAUGGAAUUCCCGGUGUAGCGGUGAAAUGCGCAGAUAUCAGGAGGAACACCAAUGGCGAAGGCAGCCCCCUGGCCAAUACUGACGCUCAUGCACGAAAGCGUGGGGAGCAAACAGGA
rnacentral:rRNA from 1 species